GAAGUGGUCCGGGUGACCGCUUCCUUGAUGAGUGACGGCCUGUCCCGAGCUUGUCGAGGGAGAGGAAAGUCCGAGCACCGCAGGGCAGGAUGGUCGGUAACUCCGACCGGGGGUGACCCCAGGGACAGUGCCACAGAGAGCAGACCGCCCGUCUUCGUCGCACCUCUGGCGUGACUUCGACGCGGCAAGGGUGAAACGGUGAGGUAAGAGCUCACCAGUGCCGGUGGUGACGCCGGCAGCUUGGCAAACCCCAUCCGGUGCAAGGCCAAAUAGGGAAGCGUCUGAGGGCUGCCCGUCCAAAGCUUCCGGGUAGGCUGCUAGAGGCCGUCGGCAACGGCGGUCCCAGAUGAAUGGUCACCACUCUUUUCAAAGAGGUCGCGAGGGCUUGUCCCCCGCAGCUUCAGCGAAGGGGGAACAGAACUCGGCUUACAGGACCUCUUCACCU
rnacentral:RNase_P_RNA from 1 species